rnacentral:rRNA from 1 species
AUUGAACGCUGGCGGCAUGCCUUACACAUGCAAGUCGAACGGCAGCACGGGAGCAAUCCUGGUGGCGAGUGGCGAACGGGUGAGUAAUAUAUCGGAACGUGCCCAGUCGUGGGGGAUAACGCAGCGAAAGCUGUGCUAAUACCGCAUACGAUCUAAGGAUGAAAGCGGGGGAUCGCAAGACCUCGCGCGAUUGGACCGGCCGAUAUCAGAUUAGCUAGUUGGUGGGGUAAAGGCCCACCAAGGGGACGAUCUGUAGCUGGUCUGAGAGGACGACCAGCUACACUGGAACUGAGACACGGUCCAGACUCCUACGGGAGGCAGCAGUGGGGAAUUUUGGACAAUGGGCGCAAGCCUGAUCCAGCAAUGCCGCGUGCAGGAUGAAGGCCUUCGGGUUGUAAACUGCUUUUGUACGGAACGAAACGGCCCUUUCUAAUACAGGGGGCUAAUGACGGUACCGUAAGAAUAAGCACCGGCUAACUACGUGCCAGCAGCCGCGGUAA